rnacentral:misc_RNA from 1 species
AUAAAACCCGGUACCGAGGGGGUUUUUAAAACCCCUAUAUUGGGGAAGCAUACUCAGGUGGUUUAAAAACCCAAUUUUGUAAGGAAAGAAAAGUCAUUGAUCUAGAAAAAUUAAGCCAUAUGGUAAGGAAAGAGAAAUACUUAAUAUAUUGGUUUUMAAAACCCAGGGGUAUUUCUNCUUUUUUUUUUUGCUUUGUUUGAUCCCUAUUUUGUUUUCUUCUUCAUUACAGAUUUAUUAUCGUUAUCGUUUCUUGCAUCUCUCGCGAAAUUCCGGGUAGGCGCGAAUUCUCCCAAUUUGUGACCUAUCAUAGAAUCUGUUAUAUAAAUAGGGAAAUGUUCCUUUCCAUUAUGAAUACCGAUUGUAUGGCCAACCAUUGGGGGUAUAAUGGUAGAUGCCCGAGACCAAGUGACUAUUAUUUCUUUCUCCUCCCCCAUUUUUAUUUUUUGAAUUUUUUYUGAUAAAUGCUUAGCUACAAAUCUUUCUUUUGCUACAAAUCUUUUUUUUUGAUGUAUCACAGCUGAUUACUCCUUUUUUUCCAUGUUUGUUAAAGAUUGGCAUUCUAUGUCCAAUAUCUCGAUCUAAGUAUMSAGGUCAGCCCCCCCGCCGUUAAAAUUAAACCUAAUGCUC